UGGAAAGAGCCAGAUUUACUUAAAAUAAUUAUAAUUGACCUCUGAGGGGACGAAAAGGCGUGGGGGAGGCGAACGGGGAUUUAGGAUACCCCCCGGGUAGGUCCCACGCCGUAAAACGAUGGGAUACUAGCUGUUUCGGAUUUAUCUGAGUGGGUAAGCGAAAGUGAUAAGUAUCCCACCUGGGGAGUACGUUCGCAAGAAUGAAACUCAAAGGAAUUGACGGGGGCCCGCACAAGCGGUAGAGCAUAAGGUUUAAUUUGAUGAUACGCGAGGAACCUUACCAGGUUUUAAAUGUAGUUUGCAUUAGGUAGAGAUACUUAUUUCUUCGGACUAUCUACAAGGUGCUGCAUGGUUGUGGUCAGCUCGUGCCGUGAGGUGUCAGGUUAAGUCCUAUAACGAGCGCAACCCCUGUUGUUAGUUACCAGCAUGUAAAGAUGGGAACUCUAGCAAGACCCCCAGUGCAAACUGUGAGUAUUCUGGUUAUACCGUCAAAUCAUCACGGCCAUUACGUCCUGGGCUACACCCGUGCACAAGGGUAGGGGGGGGGCAGCUAACUAAAGCGCCCAGGACGCAUCUAAAAGCGUUAACACUUUCUAUCGAGUCCGCAACUUUUUAAAAGAAGCUGCAAUUUGCUAAUAAUUGCAUUCCUUUCAGAUUCACCUU
rnacentral:rRNA from 1 species